CGCUCAAUUUCAAAGAACGAAGUCCAAAUCUUGUCAAAUCGGAGCUACGAACUGAUUUAUUCAGGAGGGCCAUACUGGAGUCAGGGCCACCAGAAAAUUUUGCUCUCAAGACUGUCCAAGAAAUUAUUAAACCUCAGUGCAUAUUUGAGUUUUAGAGCCAAAGAUGUCUUCGGAUUAUAGCGAACCUAUUACUGCUGAUGAUGCCGAGUUGGAUGACGAUGUAUCUCAAGGACCCACAAAGAGGAUUCGAAAACUAACUUCAAAGUGAAUCAUGUUAAGUUACAUCAUAAAAAGAAAGUCCCCAUGGAUGUUCCUACUAGAUGGAACUCCACUUAUUCAAUGCUUGAAGCUGCAUUAGAUUUGAAAAGUGCAUUCCACCGCUUAGGGCAAAUUGACAAACAAUAUAAGCACAAUCCUUCUGAGGAUGAGUGGAAUGUAGCAAAUGUGAUUUGUGGGUGCUUGAAGAUUUUUUUUGAUGCUACAUCUCACUUUAGUGGUACCACUUUUCCGACUUCAAAUGUGUUUUUUCCCGAUAUUUGUCUUAUUCAACUUGAAAUGAAAAAAUGGGAGCAAAGUGAGUAUGAUUGCAUUCGAUUGAUGGCCGGUCCAAUGAGAGUGAAAUUUCAAAAAUAUUGGGAAGAAUGUUCUUUGGUGUUAGCAAUUGCAGUGGUUCUUGAUCCGAGAUUUAAAAUGGACUUGGUGGAAUACUACUUUGGGCUUAUUUAUGGUGUUGAUGCUAAUAAGCAUAUUCAGAGGGUCCGUAAUGGUUUUGUUGAUCUUUUUUAUGAGUAUAGGAGUGAUUCUUCUGAUUCUAUGAGUAGCAUUGCACUUGUUUCUGAAAAUAGUAGCUUAAGUGGUAGUCAGUUGCUUGUCGGUUCUUCGAAACAAGAAAGUUUGGCUGCUUUUCAUGCGUGGUAUGCCCAAGAACGUGCUUCUAACAUUCAUGCCUAUCAAAAAUCAGAGGUGGAGCAAUACUUGGAGGAGUUGGUGUUUCCAAGUAAUGAGAGCUUCAAUAUUCUACAUUGGUGGAAAGUGAAUAAAGCAUAAUUUCCUACUUUGGCAAGGAUAGCUCGUGAUGUUUUAAGUGUUCCUGCUACUACGGUUGCAUCAGAGGCGGCGUUUAGUGUAGGAGGUAGGGUGAUUGAUGAGACACGUGCUUCAUUACUUCCAGAUAUUGUGGAGGCCUUGAUCACUUGCAAUGAUUGGAUUGAAUCAACCAAAAAUAGAAAUGUAGAAGAAUGCAGACAUAAGUAGAUGGAUUGAAUUGAAUCGAAUCACUUGAAGUAGAUGGGUUUGAUAAUGAGCUUAACAAAGUGGUUGCUAUUAAAGUUAUUGACUUGGAAGAAUCAUGUUUUGGUGGCUGAUGUUAUCGUAGUAGAAGCAAAGAACAAGAGAAGAUACUGAAGAACUAAUAGA